UACUUGCUUCUUUCCUCUCUGUAACUAAAAUGAGAAUGACUUAUCUUGUUUCAUUUAUGAAAUGUAAAUCUAACCUGGCUGAUAAAUUGUUUAAGUUAUUUGUUUUUUAAUAAACUGUGUUUGAUAAUAUUACUGGGUUCUCACUGUAUCUUGAAGAAAGUGCAUUAACUGGGAGAGAAAAUAGGACAAGUUGUUCUCUGAUUCUAUAUCUGACCAAUAUUCACCCUUAUUCUAGUAAGGUGAUGUUACUAGUAUGUGGCAGACAAAAAACAAAGGAUCAACAACAAUGCAAGAUUGACUUAAAACACAGCAUAUUUUGUUGUGCUCCCUACCUUUCCAGGCAAGUUGGUUAUUAUAGUUAUAAGAGAAGGGCAAAUAUGUCUUAGGCUUAUUCAUACAAAGCAUUUUUUUUGUAGGUGCUGUUUGUUUUCUAAAUUAAAUAUGGUACUCAGAUUACUUAUACAAUAUUCAUACAAUAUCUGUAUUAAGGAAAAAAAAACACUACAACAAAUUAGAACCCCAUUUAGGUAAGCUGUACGUUCAGAUUGUUUAGAAAAGUCCAAAUAUGAUUACAUAACUGUCUGAAGAGCCACAUAAGCUGUCAAAGUUCUGUGGGUGUUUCAGAUUCAGAAUCCAACCUUAAGUUCCCCCUACUCACUUUUGUUCCUUGACAGAUUCAGUUCUUGUCUAUCACUCAAGGUAAGUUCUGCUGCAGCAGCAGUCUGGGCAUUAGCAUAGAUGAAAUUCAGAUGACAGAGACCUGAUCUUGUAUCAGCUUUAAAUGCAAACUAAGGCACAGCUAGAUCUCUCCAAGGAAACAAAGAGCAGUUUGUUCUGCCAGUGCUGGAGGCAUGAGCACUAGCCUAUUAUAGCACAGCUCAGGCUGUGGCCAAGCACUAAUUUCUCCCUGACACCCUCUGGCCUGCACUAACACCAUUCAGCUGCACAUUCUCCAAACUAAGUACCUCACCUGCUGGGAAAGGCCUCCCUGAGAACCAGUCUCUUCUACUCACAUAAGUUUCCAAUUACAUACUUGGAAGCUUUUGCCUGUUUUCUUUAAGCUGGAGUCCUUUCCCCAGUCACUCAGAUUCCAUGGUGGAACAACCAUAUAGCACACUUACCUGAACUGCAGUAAACUUCAAACAAAUGUAAUUAGCAAGUAUUUAGUAUGCUAUAGAAAAGCCCAGGCUGACAUAAAAUGAUACCUGUUAGCUUGAGUUUUCCUUAAGAUUUUAUUCAGAGUAGUGAAUCUUACUAGUAUUAUACUUUAGCUGUACCUUUAAGCACUCUCCCAUCAUGCUCUGUCAGCCCUAUAAAUCUGCCUGCUUCUGCUGCAACUUUGCAGUACUUGGGCACCCUGCCUGACUGUUUGAGUUGCUACAUCAUUCAUCAAUAUUUUCUGAAUAGCAAGGUGAGAAAAGACAAGCAGGAAAAAAAAAGGAAUUAAGAUAGGUCACUUGCUGAUUUAUCUCCAGUUCACAACUCAUUAGAAGAGAUCAGUUAAACAGAGGUCUUGGAAGCUGUUACCCGCUCAGACUUUAGUGAGUGAGUUAACACAUUCUGUCUGUUUGAAAACAAUUCAUUAAACCCCCAUCUUGUACAAUGCUAAAAUAUUCUGGCCCUCUGAAUGCAUAUCUGUUGCUAAGGUAAAACAGUUAUGUUUUUAAGAAGUGUUGUCAUUGUAGAAAGAUUUCCAGAUAUUUCUUUUUCAGAACUUUUGGAAUAAAUACAAAUACAGAAUAUAGUAGGCAAAAUCUUAUUUGUCGUGUUGAAUGGGAUUUGUCCCAUUAACGUCAGCACCUAAAUAUUUGCUUCAGUUCAGUCAAUAUUUACCUCGCUGGUCAAUAAAGCUUGUUUUGCACUUCACAAAGUUAAUAUUUGCUUGCUGUUUUUAGUUUGGUGACAAUAUACAAAAUCUCUGUUUCUAACAAUACAAAAGGUGUUUUUACUGCUUUUUGAACAAAAAAGAAUUUAUAUUAACAGUUGUGUUAGCUUAUUAGGAAGUGUUACCCACAAAUAAAGCCAUGUUCAUCAAAUAAUAAGAUUAACUAGAUUAUUUGUAUGACAUUUUACAAACAUAAAAGGAUAUUUUUGGGGAAAAAAAAAGGUAAAAUGGCUAACUAUUAUUGAAUUAAAACAUGAUUGUAUAGAGCUGUAAAAUGAAAUUGCACAUUAGUUACUUUUAUACUUGUUUUGUGCCAGUCAAGUUCUCUCAUAAAGGAAAAAGUGCCAUUAUUAAUUAACUCAUGGUUUAGUUUUGUUGUUGUUGUUGUUGUUUUUUUUUUUAAGUUUCUUGCAUAAAAUAGAAUAACUAGACUGAAGGGGAACCUCAGAAACAGUAGGUAGAUUUUUGGCUCAUAGAAAAGUCAUUGGGAGUUAAAUUUUGGUAAAUCAUUGACAUGUCCUAAGCAAAUCCUUGUCAUCAAUAUCCAGUGCGUAAUUUCUUGCAUAUUGUAGCUUUCCACAAAAGAACCCUAGGACACUAGUGUGUUUUUUUUUGUUGGUUUUUUUUUUUUUUUUUUUUUUUUCUUUGUCUUUUUUCUUCCCUUCCCUUUUUAAGUGUUGUAAGUUUGGACUUCAUGCUCAAAUAUGUUAGAAGAAGAAAAAGAAACAAGUAGGGAAAAAACUUCAAAGUUAUUCAUGAUAUUUUGCAUGAUGCUAUUGCUCUCAUAUUUGCUUCUCUUAAAAUUUUUAAUUUAUCCUGAGAAGUGUUUCUGAAGGUUCUCAUCUGAUAGCUGGUGAGCACUGUUUUGUUCUUUACUCCAGAACGCUCUGACUACAUUCAGAUGCUCUGCUCAAUUUUCCUUGAUUUUGUCAGAAUAACAGGUAAAAUGGAAUAUGCAAAGAGCGAGUAAAACAUUUUCAGAUGUGUAGCAGUAGCUUCUGGAGAAACUUGUCUGUGCUUUCAGCAGUCUGAUCUAUCUCUGGUAAUUUUUAGGACUUAAUCCUUUGAGAGUAUGUGAUUAGUAUACAUAAGUGAGUAGUCACAUUAGAGUCAAGGAACUCCUUGUCCAUGAAGUUAUUUGCAUGAGGGUGUUGGGUCAAGGAAGGCCCUCUUUACCUCAGCUUUAAAUGAAAAUAAAAAUACUUGCUUUGCCAUUAGGAAAUCCUUAUGCUAAUGCCCACACAUAGCUCACUCUGUUCUGAUUUCAUUGAUAAAAGUAGUUUAGCUCAAGAGGAGAUAUUGAUGUUUAUAUAAUGCACACAAUUAUGGUUGUUCAUUACAUAAUUUCUUAUGAUACGCAUCACAUAGAAACUCCUGCCUGUAGUUUUCUCAUCCUUGCCCUUGUUUAAAUCAGUUGUUGACUGUAACAGCAAUGAGCACGCUUCCAGGCGUUCAUGUGGCCGGUAGCAUAGUAUGCUAUGGUAAUGCUGCAGCUCAUGGAAAGUGAAAAAUUAGUAACUGAAUUAUGCAAAACACAGGAUUACUUGUUGCUGAACUUACAGUUAUCAUGUGCCCCUAGUUACUACAAAAUCGGGUAUAGACUUCAACAGCUUGGUGAAGAGGCAGCACGUUUCUGAACUGAAUGCUGCAGAUGAAACUGGCAUGGGUUAUGCAGUUGUUCAUCACAAUUCCCUACAUUUAACUGUGCAAAUGUUUUGGUUGUAAAAAAAUGUGAGGCAGAUGUUAAUUCAGAAGGCAAAGGUUUCUGGAAUAACAUCAGAGUACUUCUAACUUGAAAAUUAUUUUUGUUUUGGAAAGCAAGCACAAACAGCAAAUUUUCAGUAAAGUCAAAGGAAGGACAGAAAUCAGAUGCACAGGGGAGGAGAAAAUGUGUAGAUGACCUUUGGAUCCUUACAGCUGACUACUCCAAGUUUCCAAAUGUGACACUUAAUUUCCGCAGAAGAAUUUUUCCCUUGUGCCUUUCAUAUUUGUAUCAUUGUUGGCUACAUGGUUAUUUUGUAGUGGUUUAGUUAUAGUAUAAUUGAAUAUGUGGUAGCACACGAUCUUUGACUUUCAACCUGCUAGGGGCUUUGUCUGCAACAUAUGGUUAAGAGAUACUGCCAUCUCCCUGGUAUCUGGUCAAAGGAGAUAACACUGUUGUUUGUUAAGCAAGUCACAUUUGUUAUCUUGCUAUAAUGUACGCUUUUCUUCCAGUGGCAUACUUUAAACCAGUUUUGAGUAGGUAGAAAAAAUGCAAUAUGUUUGCACUUAUGUCAAGAAACAACACUAGCAUCUUUUUGCAAAGACCUCCAACUCAGUUCCUUGGAGUGGUGAUUUUGUGAUUUAUACAGUUUGAGACUAGGGUGAGACUAUUUAACUCAUUAAAUCUUAUGGUCUGAGUUUUCAGAUGAAUUUAAGUGUCUGAACUAAAUCAUAGCACUCCCAUACCACUCAAAACUGUCAAAUAAAAAUCCAUUUAUGAUAAGCAUUGUCUUAAUUUAAGGAAAUAUCCUUCUGUUCUAGCUUACCCAAUACUUUUCACCUUUAAUAGAAAGAAUUAAUGCAAGACUGCUUACAAGAGAACUUGCUGCUUACCCAAGAACUACUUACAAGGUGAAACACUGGUGCAGGAAUACUGUUACCCAUCUUAGGCUCUUAUAUAACUUAUUUCAGAAGAUGUUACAAUGAUUAAGCACGUAAGCUUGCUUGACUCCAAGUGUGAUGUUGUCUCCCCUGUUUUCACUAGAAAAUGACUGUCUUGCCCAUCAGUUUCGGCCAGCUGUGUGCUCAUAGAUCAAAAGUACAAACAACAUGCUGAAGGCCAUUUGGGCUCUAGCAACCUAACAGACUUAUUUUUGUUGAUACGGCAACUGAAGCACCAAGGUGUAAGUGAAAAUUGUAGGACUUGAUUGCCUGAAGUUAGGUAAGAAAUACUGAGAUAAGUAAAUAUGUAAAAAGGCUCCUUUUUGAAUGAUACAGAAAGCCCUUGUAACUUGGAGACCUGUGCCUGUCUGCAGAAAAGAUUUCCUAAUAUGUGUAAAUAAAGAUCUGGAUGUGUAACUUCAGGCAUUCAAACUCGAAAAGUUUGGUCUACUACUCUGUUUCUCCUUUUGAUGCUGAGUACAUCACACCAUGUUGCUUGGGUGUUUGUAUUUGUUUGUUUUUAAAUUAUCAUGGUUAUAUUUUUGACAGUAGCUUUGUAGAAGAGAAGACCAAAUGGAGAUGUCAACUGUGUGAGCAGGGACAAGGAACAUAUGGUUGGGUAUAUUCAGACUAACAAAAGAUUCUUUUCAGCCCAGUGAGAGGGGAAAGAAAGCUACAGAGAACAGCAGCAUCAGGAAAGGUGGAUGGAUAUAGGUAAAUGAACCUAUAAAUUCAGCAUGCUACAGCUCUGUUAGAACUCCAGCUGUGAAAUAAUAGAUGCCCAAAGCUUUUGCCAGUGUGUGUGGAUUAGGGCACAUACAGACUUCUCCAGACAGGCAUCCCAUCUUGCACAACUUCACAUCUCUGUACAGAGGGUAUUGCUCUGUGCCUCUUGUCAGAAAGAGCCUGCAGAAUGUCUUCUGCACAGUCUUCAGUGAGGCUAACACUAUGUUCAGUGCUGAUGGAAAAACUAGUUCAAGGCUUGCAGAAGAGUUGGCAUAUUUGUUGAAAUUUCUUAAAUGCAUCACAGUGAUAGCAGCAUUUUUCUUGUGUAUAUUUUGGUGUGCAACAGAACAUCCUUUUUCUUCCUAAUGUAAAAGAAAAUAUGAAGCACUGCAACAAAAUAAUACCUGCAGAUCCUGCCCAGGGUCACUCGGAUAUCCAUCUAACUUUUUAUGGUACAUUCAGAGAAAGAUGUGAUAGCAGAUAAAGGACAUGAACCAGUGAAACUGUGGUCAAUGGAAAUGGUGUAUAUAUUUCAUUGUUUAUAUCCUGACACUGUAAUUGUUCUCUAUCACUCUAUAAUUGCCACGAUGUUAAAAUAUAAUUGUAAAAUGCUUUACUCUUUCAUUCAUAUUUUGAAACUUUAUACAAGUCACAUAAUCAUCUAUGUACAGAACUGUUUGUCUGUGACUGUUUAACAGGUACGCAUAAUUCAUGUCUAUUCUUUUUAAGUAAGUUUCUGUUGAAUUUAACCAAGUUUACCAUUUUUCAGCCUCCAAUGCUGCAGUGAAAAUGUACUUCCUUAAAUCUAGUUUGCUUGCAGACAGAGGCUGACACAGUAGAUUUAGUACAGCUGCAGUAUUAAUGUUCAAAACUCCCAUGCUGCACAGUUUUCCCAAAUGCUACAUAAAAAUGCUGUGCAGUUUCUCACUCCAAGGCUGCUCUAUUAGGGCAUUAACUGACUGUAUGCCUCCAGUUUGGUUAAUGUUUUCAUUUAUGUACAAUGCAGCUUUGCACACUCACCCGAAUUACUAUCUAUUGCAAAAUAAUGAUGGUGAAAUUGUAAUUUUAUCCAAUAUUGGGUUAACAUUAAUUUUUCAAACUGGGAAAAACAUUAAUUUUUUAAAACUGGGAAAGGACUGGCCAAGUGGAAGAUGCAGAACCACAGAAGAGUUGCUAGAGAACAACUGGUUAUACAUUGUACUUAUACAUGUUUUUAACUAGCUAUAAGAAAAUAUAACUGAGAAAGUUUCUGGAAGUAUAAAGGAAGCAGCAUGGAUUUACGUAUGUACUGUAGUAGUGGGAGGUGAGGGAAAUGCUCACCUAUCUGGGUCAGUGCUUUUAUUGUCCCCUAUCACAGUGUAGAGUUUUGUUAACUCGGUUUCAGAAGGGCAGCUUUCCCACGUUUUUGGUAGUUUUUUGAGGCAGGUGUAAGGGCUUCAGCAUGGACUGGAUAUAGCAAGUUAUUGGAGAUAGAUUUGUAAAUCAUAUUUCAAAAGGUGAUGGAGGGAAACGUGGCUGUCUUUGAAGGCCUAAACUAUAGGGCCUUGCUGUUUGGGAUGUUGAGUUUCUGGUCAAGAACAAAACAGACAAAAACAGAUUUCAGUCUUUGAUCUUUCCUUCUGCUCAUAUACGAUAGGGCUGUAUGCUUUCACAGUUUGAUAGCAAUCUAGUCUCUUCAUCAUUUAAUCCUUAAAGGCAAUGAAUAGCUUCUGCUCAUUUACUUUUACCAAAUUUGAGAGCAGUCCGUUACACUGAACAAAGCAUUUGAAUUCAGGCUUCAAGUUAAACUGUUUGCCUGCAAGCUGUGCACCUUACAGGCUGGAUUUUGUUUGGGAAGUGUUCAGAAAUGUAAAUCAUUGGGUUUGUGGAGUAGAUGAAUUUUCAGAGCUCCAUGACAGCUAAAUAACAGUAGGAGGAUUACAGCCUCCUCCAUUUCUUUUCAUGUCAAAAGAAUUUCUAUUAUUUUAUCUUCUAAAUAAAUAUUUCCUCACCUUUAUUUUACCUAGGUCCUUUUUAGCAACCAACUGUACUUUUUGACCCCAUCAGCUUUUGUUUUUCUGUCCAGGUUUGGAAAUCACUUCACCACGUUUCAUUCAGCCUCUGGUGGUCCCCCAUGUCCAGAUAAAUCUCGGUUGGAUUCCUUGUGGGCUCGGAGGUGGAGGCUACAGAGCUGUGCAGCAUCCUUGCUGGUGUUGCUGUUGGGUCUCCUGCAGGGAAUGCAGUGUCCCACAGCCAUCAGAGCCCCAGAGGAGGAAGUAGCACAGACAUUCUUCAUAAAGCAGAGAAAAUAGGUGCAGGCAAAUAUUUUAAAUCGAACUAUAAUGAAAUUAUUGUUUAUGGCCUAGCUCCUACCUUACAUCCAGAAUCUGUCAUUUAGGUGAUUGGGCCAGCAGGUGGCAAAUAUAAUUGAAUUCAAGAAAAUAAAUAAGGAAGUAGGCUGGGGACUGGUUGCUAAAAAGAUGACAUCUAGUUUACUAAUUAGGAGGAUUUAUGGCAUGCUGCACAUAAAAAUAGAUGAUUAUUGAUAGCUCAUCUUGAUCGUGGAAGUUACCAUUUCCUAUAUGCAGCAUUGCUGCAGCAGUGUGAUGUGCUUACAGUGUGCACAGGGAGGCUGACCUCCUGUUAAGCCACCUGCCAUGGGCUGCAGUGCCUUGGAAGCUGUGAGGGCAGGGGCUGUGGGCUGUGCUGCCGCAGCUGCCUUGCUCCUGGUGUUCAGACGUGGCCUUGAGUACCCACAGGUUGCACUUCUUCCUCUAACAUAGAGGUGGAGAACAGAAAGAAUUCUUUCUGGUUCUGUGUUAGCAAUAACCUGAAACAAGCCAACAGACCCGCUGCACUGGAUGCUGUUAUUGUUGUCUGGGAUCUUUAUGAAAGGCUGCACAAAAAUAUUGUUACUAAUUUAGAGAGGAGGCAGCAAAAGAUAGGGUGUGUUAUAUCCCUCUUUGAAUAGGGAGGAAGAGAAAGAGGGUUGGACUUCUUUUUAAUUAAUUGAAAGAGAAUGUGUAAAAGAUGAUAAGACAAUAGGAAAGUAAGAUGGAGAUUGCUUCUGAAAUUCCCUUGUAUCUAAGUAGCAAUCUGAAGGUAUUUUAAGCGGAAAUCAGAAAUGGAUAUUAAAGCAUUUGUCAGUGGAGGCUGCUGAAAUGGAACUCAACUCUCUUUCUCUGUAGUGAAGAUAACUGCCAUGUAGGUCAAUAUCACCUCAUUAAAGUUGUUUUAAUGUUCAAGGCUAUAUCCGUUACUGGUAAGCCCAUCGUGGCACCUACGUAUGGAUCACACAUUUCCCUAUGCCCUUAUCUAACUCAUUUUCUGUACUACAUUUUGGAAUAAUUUGAAUAUGAAGAAUAUCAGGAAAACAGAAUUGUUUUGUUCUAAAUGGAGAGCUCGGGCUGAACUAUUCCCUGCAAAAAGUAACAAACAUCCAGACUGAAUUACCAUGGAGGAGAUUGCAGCAGAGAUUGUAAAUAUUAUUUUGAGAGAUGUAGAUUUCCUUCUGAAAGGAAAGAGCAUUAAGGGAUAUAUCGAAUAUGUAGAAGGGGAGUAAUAAUAAAAAGAAGAUAAGGUAAAUUUGGCUAGCCAGCCUUUUUUGCUAUUUCACGUCUAACAUUCAUAUAGGAGAUCUAGCAGUUGCAUCGAGCUGAGGUGAGUUUAGUCUUAUGUGCCUGGUAAAAUGGAGUUGGUUCACAAGGAUCUGCUCCUUUCUCUACUGUCACCUAAUAUUUCUCUUACAAUAUCUGCACAUCACUUCUACCAACCAAACAUUUUUUUUAAACAAUUUGGAGAAAAAUAAAUAGAAGUUUGAACAUAAAUAUUUUUGUAUUCAUUUUCCUGCAUUCACUUGUUCAAUAGAGUUUCUUUAUUGCCUCUACUUUCAAAUAAUUUGUGGUGAUAAAUGCAAUGCUGAAGUAAGCUGUGUGGUGAAUUAAAAUUUAGAUGGAAAGAGAUUAUUUUAUUUUAGUAUUUCAAAGAGGUGUGAUGUAAACCUUUAUAAAUAAAUUAAUGGACGAGGAGUCAGAAAACCUUGCACUUCAGUGUUGAGACAGGUGCUCGUUCCAAGUUAUGGAAUAAGGUGGUUCUUUUGGACAGAAAACUUAAACUCUGCAUUUGACAGAGCUGCUCUGAGCAGGGUCUCACAAUGCCCCAGGAGACAGGAUUUUAAUUGAUUUGAUGGGAAACCAAAGGUCUAGAGACGCCUUGAUCUACUUGCCGUUACUCAGUUGCUAAGAACUAAUUUGUCUCAUGAACAAUCCAACUUUGUGUAAAAAUUAUUUUAUUUAAGAUUUAAUUGCAAAAUGAUUCAGACUUUGUGUAUUGUAUAUGUGAGUAAAAAAAUUCUAGACUUUAGUAUUUGUGCUACCUGUUUUAUAUGUUUGUGUUUAAUGCAACUGAAGGAUAUUGGGUAAAAUGUCUUAGUUUGACUCAUUAAAGGAACUGCCAACAUGCAUUUCCCUGAGUUACCUCAGCAGUGGAGAGGAGAGGAUGAAUUCCAAACGCAUCAUCUAGACUUCACAAGUCUGCAGAGAUCUCCAAAGUGAACUUCUCCAUCUGCGUUAGGUAGUAAAUAUCGCUCUACUUUUGCUGCAUGCAAAUGCCUGCAUAUGUGCACUCAUUCUCUGUAUUUUAUCCAUAUGUUCUCUGUAAUGUUCUCUGUAAUCUGUAGGUCUUUGUCUAGUUGUAUGUAUGCAUGUGCUUUCUGGCCUGAAGUCACUAAACACUAAGAAUAAUUGGGUGUACGUAAAAUAUCCGAGUUUGUACAUGUGUACAAGAUACAGGAAAAAAUCACAGUUAUUUUUCAUUUUGAAACAGUAUAAAUAAUGAAUGAUGCCUGAGCAAACAGCAAUUGCUACUUGCAAUUUAGUUUUAUAAUUUAGUUUUGUUUCAGUUUACCAUGUUAGCUACUACGUGGCCCUUGGAAAUUGAUCAAGGGAUAAGAAUGUAAUAAUAAAUACGGAAUGACAAUCCAGCUUCUUUUCAUUACCUGGCUACUUUCUAACUCUAUUGAUGAAGUAAAUGUCUUUAUUUGCAUUCAGGUAUAAAUAUUCCUUAUUCUCAAACUUAAUACAGUGUAAUAAGUCAAGGUUGCAAUUGUUAUUAAUGGUGAGUACUAUUUUCCAGUAUUCAGAUGUUAAUCAGUAUAAAUUUUUAUGUUAAUUAUGAUGCUAAUUAUCAGUAUAUAUAUAUAUUUUUGUAUUUUAGCAGCAUUUCUUAAUGAUGAUGGUGGGACUACAGAGUCCGUGUUAGUAAGAGCGGCUGCCAGUUAUCUUUCUGUUUGUCUGUUCCUUGUUCAGCGUGUAUGUGCUUAGUGGAGCCUUCGUAGGCUCUGACUGUGUAGAUGAAUUGCCAUGCGUUAUGGUAUGGGUUAAGAGUAUGGUAGGCACAGGCAAUUGAUGUGAUCCCCCCACUGGAAGUGAUGUUGUAAAGCCUGUCUGUUGCAUCAGAGAAGCUCCUGUUACUUUGAAUCUUUCCUUGCAUCACUAAGUCAUAGUUCAGCCUUUAUCCCUCUAUCACUUUCUCAUCCUUUGUUGGUGGAUGUAACUCUGUAAAUUGCUUUAUCUGGCAAACAGCAUUCUGAGUCAAAAUGGAUGACAUAAUUCUCUUCUGUUUCCUUGAAUAUACACAAGUUUACUCUGCUAUGGCAGAGAAUUGUCUGUAUUUACAGUAGUGCCUGGAUCUAUUUAAGUAGUGGGGAAUGUUUUUGCAUUUCUGGUGUCCCGUAUGGUUGGCAAAAAUUGGCAGCUGCAAUUAUAGUCCCCUUUUGUUCCGUAGUUGUAGUGCAGGUGCAGAACUUACCUUCUGUCUAACCAUCCUCCAGGGCAGAAUAAGUUUUGCAUCUGAACAUCACUAAUUCACUAAAUGGUUAGGGAGAGUAUUUAGCUCAUAAUUACAUAAUUCCUCCCCAAAAUCUAAGUAUUUGUGUGUUCACCCAUCCUGAAGUGACAAAAGGCAGGAGAGAGGGGAAGAGAGGAAGGGAGACUUUGCUUGCCCAAAUCUGCACUUCAAAAGUAAUGAUGAAGAAAACAACCCUUGUCUGGUUCUCAAAACCAAGGCACCAGCAUAGCUGCCUGGUGAUGAUUUUUAGCAAGCAUAGUGGAUAUUGUUCACAGUUCUCUGCUUUAGCAGUAUCUAGGCUUUGUUGUUCAAUUUGUCCAGGGAUCCACUGGCGUCAUCCUCAUCAUGGGAGAGCAUUUCCCCUUCUAAAGAGUUUCUGUGGGAUCUCUUUCCACAGUACGCACACAAAUUGUGUUGUACCUUUCAGCUGGGUCCUAUAAAUUAAUGACUCCUGGUAUAGCAAAAAUGCAUUUUCUUCAUUGUAGUUUUGCAUUGUGUACCCAUGAAGAGUCCUCCUGGACUUAGUUCUAAAGGAAUAAUUAUACUACUUAAAUAUUAAUCAUUAAAGUUCUUCCUUUAUUGUUAAACCAAUUUUUAAGUAAGGCAAAACUGAUUUACAGUUUAUGGCCUUGCAUUCCAGAAUUGCUGGUGUUGCAUCUGAUGCCCUGUUUCAGCAAUAUUGGCACUGCCAGAAGGCUCAGAAGUGUAGAUUCUAAUCAAAAACUUCGAGAUAUACUUCAGUUAAGUGAUGAAUUAAUCUUUCCUUAUGAACUUCCAGGCUGUUAUAAAAGGAGAGUGGCUGCAGCUUCCUUUGAAUCAAUUCAGAAGCGUGCUUUUGUCAGUAUAUGAUUUCAAUAUAAUGAAAUUGAAAGUUGUGUGUCUUUUUCUCACAGAUUGUUAUUUAAUCACUCUAUAUUAGCUUUCAUUGCCCUUUUGAUAUAUUUAAUCUCAUAAACUUCUCAUUGAAUGGAUUGAAUUUACCAUUAUGUUGUUACUUUUUAUGAAUAGAAUAAAUCAAUAUCGGAUACAUUGGCUUGCACUGAAUUGUUUAUUUUAAGGGGUGUUUAAACUUUACCGAAAGGGGAAAAAAACAAAGUUAUCUCCAAGAAUGGGAGGUCUGAUGCCCAGUGUUCCACUGUAAAACUCAUUAUUUGGUAACACCUUGAGAUUCAGCCUGCUUCAACUAUAUGCUGGAAGUGCUCCACAUAUUAUCCAGAGAUACUAGGCUAAUAAAUUUUCCUAACGUUAUUUGAAAUGUAAUAUGUUUUGAAGUAGUCCCAAUAUAUAUAGCAUUUAAAUACUUAAAAGUUGUUUUAUUAUUGUAAUAGAAAGCUUUAUUUCAUUAUUAGGGAAAUAUUUGAGAAUAACAACAAUACUUUUUUCACUAAAUCAACUGUCCGUAAUGUCUGCCAAAUAUCUCCUUACAUAUUCUAAAACCUUGUCUGUCUCAUUCAAAAAUUGAAUACUAGCAGAUCAAUGAGAGCUGCCUUCUAAAAUGUAUUGCUCAGUUCUUAAUAUUUAUGAUAUCCACCAAACUUGAAAACAUCUGUUCUGCAGAGAAGCAGCUAUUAAAAUACACUUAACCAGGGAGAACUGUCUCUUAAUUCAGACAGAACUUUGCUUGGUAGCCUUGCAGCCGUGAUUUCAAGAAAACGAUUAAUGUGUUCUUUUGACUGUAAGAAACGAGUAAUUUAUUUCACUUAAAGGCUGUACUCCUCGAAUAAUCUGUACAAACUGGCUGACUUCAUCUAUGAAUUUGAAGCAGAGUGUUGAAAAAAAUACCAUUGGGUUAAUUUUGUCAUUGAAUUUUAAGGAUGCUGUUUCUUGCUUUUGUGUUCAUUUGUUUUAUAUAUGAUGUUUAUUAUUAUUAAUCAAGCAAAUUUCCACAUAGACAAUUGCAAAAUUAUUUAUAAAAACUUGGGGAUUCUUGGAACAGUGUAAUCAUGUAAUAACAGCUCAUGAUUUCUCAGGCUCUGUGCUUGAUGGAGAUAUUUUGUUUGGAUUCAGUGUUGCUUCUGCAGUCUUUUCCUCACCAAUUAUGUAUGCAUCUUUAUUAUUGUAUUAAGUAGCUAAUUAAGUCUGGUCAGGUUAACCUUUCUUGAUGAUUAUAAGUAGGCAUCUCAUCCACUGAAAAAGCUAAUCAUUUUGGGUGGAACAUCUUGUUCUUGUUUGAAUAAUUAUCUUUGUUUACAUUCACACAGCAUUAAUCACUUGAACCAGACAUCUUUUGGAAAAAGAAAAAAAAGGGGGAGUGCCCAUAGCAGGUUUUCAAAUGACAUAUGCAUAAGUUAUAAAGGAGGAUGCGUUUUCCUCCCUUCUUCUCUAUCAGGAAAAUAGGAAGACAUUUUGAGUUCAUAAUCCAGAAUAAAAGCUGUGUUUUCAAAGUACACAAAGAACUGCAGUUUCUUUUCAAAUAACUUUUAAUAGCAAGUCCUCCAGGCUGAUCAGCUAAAUUGAAGUCUUGUUUCCUUGGUGAAAAUUCUUUAGCAGUAGCAUUGCAAUGUUUUCCUGGUACAGUGGUUUUUUUUUUUCAUUCUUUUCAGUUCUUACUGUUAUUAUCUUAUAACUCUAUUUGUCUUUCUUUUGUGGCCUUUUUUAAAAUUUAUUUUUAUGCUAGUGAAAUCUUCUUUUUCCCUGUCCUUCUUGGUUUUGAUCCUUUCUGCUAAUCCUUCUGCCCUAAAGUCUGUCUUUUUUUGCUAUGGAUAGGUCUUGCCUAGGUACAAUGAUUGCCUGAUCACUCAUGGGAGGAGCACAUCCCUAACAAAUGCUCCGAAUGUUGUAGCUUCUGUCAUCAAGGUUGGGAAGACCAAAAGGAGAGACUGCAAAGCAACCUUCUAGCAGUACUUCUGUGCUCCUUCCACCUUGCAUCUGAAGACUUUUGUUGAGAUCAUGAAACACGUUGGUGUUUAUAAAUUAUUACUUCUCAAGGACAAAAUUCUGGCAUUCUAGGAGAUCUGUUAGCUAAAUGCUGUGAUGCCUAGGGGUCAAAUAGGAUGCUAGGAAUAAUCAGAAAAGAAAGAGGGGAAAAAAGCACACUCAACAUUUUGAUACCAUGAUAAAUACACCAUAUAUCUCCAUCUUGAGUACUGUGUGUCUUGAAAAGGAUACGUUAAAACAGCAAAAGCUGUAGAGAAGAGCAACAAGCGCAAUCAAAGAUGGCAGAUAAAGAGACCAAACCAUAUUCACAUGUGUUUCCAUCUAGAAAAGGCCUUGAAGUCAUUUAAAGUUAUAACUUUUAUGCUAUUCAUUUUCGGAUUAAAAUUGUCUCCUGCAAGUGAUUUUAUGAUAUAUAUAAAUAUGAUGGUUAUCAGUCUUCACGGUUAAAAUAAGGCUUUGUCUUUGGAGAGAGGAAGGCUGUACAUGCAAAUUCAGAUUCCUAAUGCAUUUCCACUAACUCUGCCCUUAUGUUCUGCCAGAAGUAAGAAACUGCGUGUUUCAUAUCUUCUUUUUUAUCUAUUUAUUUAUCUAUCUAUCUUCUGUUCUUCCUUGAUUGUCAGUUUAUUUCUUGUAUUCUUAUAUUUCUUGUUCUUUUACUUUUCUGUGGGUACAUUCAUGGCUGCCUUUUUCUCUUCCAUUUGUUUACUUUGCCUUGAACUUUCUCCCAAGCCCUUCAAUUUUCCUUUUCUUAGACCUGAAUAUACGCAUGGAGUAAUCAUAUUUCUCCCCUUCCAUUUCUACUUCCUUUCUUCUGUUACUUCAGUAUUCAUAUUUUCCCUUUCCUAAUUUCACCGUUUCUUUCUCAGCAUCUGUUGUUAUCUGUCUUUCUCUAUACUUCCCUGCCCUUUUCUCAGUGUAUUGUAUUUUAGCUCAGAGGGAGAGACUAGAAGAAGGCCUUGAACUUUUUCUUAGUAAUGCAGAACUGGGUGGAAACUACCUUAAAAUCAAGGGGGAAAGGGUAUCUCAUAACUGAUCUGUGGCAUGAGAUGACUGAGAGAAAAUUAAGUCCUGCUUAGCAAAUUUAACUUCCUCUAAAAAUUCAGGCUCCAUCCUUCAGCUGGAAAGAAAAGAAUAUAGCGGGUGUUACAAGCUGUUAAAAUUUGAGACUGAGGAGGGGAAAUAGGCUGAAGUUAUUCUAUGAAUUGUUCAUUUCUUUGUGGGAGGCUGUUAAAAUAAAGCAACAAUAUAAAAGAUGAAUUAUAUACAAUUUAAUGUAAAGCUGUUUGAUGUCAUUAUGAUAUUUCUUCCUUGAUUGUCUCACAUUUGUGUACUUUUAAAAAGUUUUACAUUUUUGUUUUUUUCUGAACAUUAUGAAAAUUGUACUGAGAGGAGUAAAUUCAUUUGCAUAAAAUUGACUGCAAAGAGCAAUUAGUCCUUCAUUAAUAUGCAAAUUUGGUCCAGUGCAAAUUCAUCUAUAUAUGAGGCUUAAAUAUGCAAGUCAGUCUUGCUGUGCGAGAAACCCAGAUGCUUUUAUUUACUUUGAAAUUGAGGGAUUUGGUUAAUGAUGUUGUUGACAGGAAAACUUGAAUAAAUUUGAUGAUCACCAUCUUUCAUAUUAGACGAAGCCCACGGAAAAAAAUUACCAAGUAAAAUACCAAUUUUAUUUGGUAAUUUCCUAUUACCAAUCUAGUAAUAAAAUGUAAGAUACAAAGUAAUAGAGUUAGAUUUCCUAAUGUAGUUAUCCUGAGACUUAAACUGUUCCCCAAAGAUAGAACCAUUUUUCUUAAACUUUGUUUUUCCAGAGGGUAAAGACAUCUACAUAAGCUGUAUGAAUAACAUACUGCCUGGAGAUUUAAUAUUGGAAAGUUAGCUCUGUUGCUUGGUUCAUUUGGAGAGAGUAUAUAGGCCUGGGAAUUAAAAAGCAGGGGCUCUGGAAACAACUGUCAUCAUCGUCUUCCAUUAAUGAUCUGUGUAAGUCUUCUCAAGGUUUGGUGCUGGAGCCUUUACUCUGAAACCACGGAGCCAGACUGGAAGUUGUCUGAACCCACAGCCAGUUAUGUUUGGCUCACCUAAGCUCAUUAAUAAACAUAUUUUCAUGCAACUCUAAGUCUUUACAGCCGUUAGUAAUACAACCUUCACACUGCUAUCACUCAACGUGGACAGGCUCUGAAAAGCAGGAUUUUUCCUUGCCCGCAGACCUAAGAUGUGGUGCGUCUGGCUCUUGUCCUCCCCAGCGUGCUGCGGUCCUUCUGGCACACCCAGGAUUUCCAUGGUUGUGUCCCUUACAGACACAGCAGUCUUCACUCUGAGGGUUCCCUUUGCAGUUGUCAGUAUUGCUUCAUUUGCAAGGAGAGUGUGCCAUGAACAUUUCCUCCAGCUUUUCUUCCCUUUUCUUUCUCCAUAGUUCUCUCAGGCCUAUAUUUAGCUUUGGCAUAAGCAACCUGGUCUUUGACUUUGGUCAUGCACAUUUGUGCCAGGACUAAAUCUGGGCUUCUGUCUUGCCUGUGUGGCACACUGGCACUUUUAAAAUAACAGAGAAAUGUAGUUUAAAUGGACUAGACUCAGGCAAUUUAUAAAGCUCUAGUUGUAACUACCCGAGGACAAGUUAAUAGAUUAUGCUGUUUGAUUCCUCCGACUUCUUGGCACAGCUGUUUGGGAUAUAAAUCCUCGCAGUGGUGAAUGGUUAGUUUCCAAAUCUUUAAUGUGCUAUACUCGGCAAAAAGUUCAUAGAACGAUGUUGAGGGAAGAAAAAAUGUAAUGAGAUAUUAAAAUUGAUGUGCAUGCUCACCACAUGCUGUAUUCUUGCAGGUGAAUCUAAAAGCAGGAAAACAGACAGGAUGGAGUAUUCAGGGGACCUAUCAGACUACUAAAGGCUCUGGUUAUCUCACAAGGGAACCUGUCCUUUCUUCCCAUCACAAUAAGGCAUUGAUAGCUGUCAGAAGCAUAGAAGGUGUAUAUGCAGGAGGUAAUAGUCCAGGAGAUGACAAAUUGAUUAAAAGGUGAAGUUUAAAAAUGUGACGUCUUCUGAAAUGUAUUAAUUUUUUUUUUAAGAUCCCUGCCUUUGAGAGCCUAUAGUAGCUGGACAGUUUCUAGUACUGUUUAGGAACAUCCACAACAAUCUUGGCUUUCUGGUCUAGCUCUCAAAAAGAGGAAAAUAUUAAUUUUCAGGGUUUCAAAACGCAUAAACAAUAGGUAUCUCAGCACAACCUGAGGUUGUCUCCUAUCAACUUUAUAAUCUUUAUAUUCUAGAUAAAUAAACACUUCAGUCUUGGAGUUUAUUAGUCCAAAAUAUAUUUAUUACCUCAUAAAUUCAAACCCCUUCCAGUUAACAUCUAAUUAAACUGCAGUAGUGUGCAAGCUGUCUUAGGGGACGUAUUAAUAAUGAAAUUAUGUUGUGAAACAGUAAUUACAUGCUUUGUACAUUCUUUUCCUUACUUUUUUUUCAGAAUCUAUGUGAUGAGUGGGGCACACAGUGCUCCAUUGUUUUGAGCUCCUCCAAACUCUGUAAGUAUCCAAGUAUAAGCAGAUUUUUUUCCUCUUAGUUAAACGGAGAGAAAAGUUCGUGCAUUUUUGCACUUGGGAAAGGGAAGGACCAAUGCCACUGGCUAGGCACAGUUAUGAAACAUGAUUGUGCAAGUAAUUUCAGCUCAUGUUUUCUCCUUAGUCUUUGAGGAUAUUACUCACAGGAAUAAAGCCUACUUACAAGAUUUUUUUAAGGCAGUUCUUAACUGCAGUUGCCAAAAUGUGAAGAAGACGACCACUUUAUUUGCAAGAGAAUAUUCACUUACUGAACUUCACUGUUAUGUAGAUUUGAAAAAAGGCAAAUGGUCUCAAAGCCUUUCUCAGGAGAGAGAUUUACUUACAUUUUUUUUUCAGUGGUAAGUGUACUUACUGUAUUCUAAUUUAUAUGUGGUUUUGGUUUUAUCUGUGCUUGUGCUUUAUCAAGGUUGUCUUUCCAUCUUCUCGGAAUACACUGAUGAUUGUGUACUGACACCAUAUCCUUGCUAAGUUUUCUUCACUUACUGCAGAAUAAGGUAUUCUGAAUCCCAGCUAAUGUGCACUUCUACAAUGAAAAUGAUUGCACAAGAGGCAAAACAGUUUGCACAUACCUUCCAUGUGUUCUUUAAGUACCCCUUUUAUCUCUCUAGUUCAAGUACAUCUGUUGAGUAAUAAUAUGAGCAUGUGACACAGCAUUCUUGUUGACGUAGGCUCUUGCUCUACCUGACAGAAGCAGGUUUUCAUUCUCUGUUGUCCUUCCAGAUACUGUAAUGCAGAAGUUUGUUUUUUCAGGAUCCAUAUGUAAAGUGGAAUGUCCUGCUCUACAGCCGCCGUAUUGUCUUGUAAUUUUUACAGCCUCCUGGUUGUUUCAUUGCAGGUACUGCUACUCUGCAGUUAUCUGCAUUUACGGGAAGGGCACUUUCCAUCAAUUUCUUCACUGAAUCUUUUAAGUCUUUAUGGCAUGAGAAGUGUUUUGCCUUCUCCCUAGUUUUAUGCUACGCAGAGUUCUACAGGGUCUGCAAAGUUAUUGGAAUUGCAUUGCAAAGUUACUCUGGUGAAAUAUGAUAACAUUCAGACUGUACCUAGUACUUUACAAACAGCAAUGAAUCUUCCAGGAGGUUAGUCAUUUAAAGACUUUUUUAUUUUUUUUUUAAACUAAGCAUGGUAGAGCAUUUGAUGCAUGAAGAAGUAGAACCCAGGUUUGUAUUCUUGUAUUGGUUGGAUCAUAGAGUUCUAAUUUAUCUUUAAUAUGGCAUUAAGUAGUGGUGAUAGGAUUCAACUUCCAACCCUAUGUCUACUUUGCAAUUGCAACUUGACGUUUCACUUGAAUUUUUCAGGCAUUCUGGGACCAGCUUCAACAUUUGGACUCUUUUAUAUUUCAUUUUAGAGUCCUGCAAGACUGCUGCAAACAGAAUGGUCCAUUGUGUUUGAAAGCAGAUAGUACUUCUAGUACUUAAUGCUUUCCAAACCCAGUUGGUUUUGGGUAUCUAACAAGAGUGACUCAAGGCUUUAGCUCCUGAGUGUAUGAAAGCUUAGGGCUUCAGAGGAACGAUGGGCAUCUAUCUUAUUAAGCAAUUGUUACAGCACUUUCCCUUCUGACCUGGUGAUGGGUAGUUGCCCUUUCUGAGACAAAUAAGAGUGAAUUAGCCAUCAAAGAAAAUAACAUAACUACAGUUACUACUUUUUCCGGCUUGUUAUUGUAAAGCUUUAGGCUUGAUAUUUCUUGAACAUACUUUCUUAUUACUAUUAUUAUUUCUUGGGAUUUAUUAGUGGUUAGUCAAAACCUGAUAAUUUCAGAACUUUUGGCAGUCUUAUGUUUCUUGUGGCUAUUGAUGUGAAAAGGUAGUCCCCAUGGCUGCAAAAGUGCAGAAUGGCUAAAGGUUGUGUCUUGCUUAUGCUAUCACACCAAAGUGUAUACCACUGGUGUCUAAUUUGAAAAUUUGAAAACUUGAAAAUUAGAUGCUUUUCUAACAUACUUCCUGAUGUGAGUAAAUUCAUUACACAAUACUCCCAGAGAGAGAGAUGCUUGUUGUCAAGCAGUCCUAUCAGAUGAAACAUACGGAAGAGUAAUAUUAAAGUCUAAAAUUAUUUUAGCUAAUUUAUAGGUGGGAAGUCUGAAGAUGAAUUCUGGGAAUUAAGGGAAAGGAAAAGGCAGUUUUUUGUUUUUCUUGAUCGUUUUUUCUCGUUCUUCUUCUCCUCUAUAUUUUGCAGGAAUUGUUUUAACUCUGCAAGCUCUCAGUUUAUGAAACAUAUUAUGGCUGAAGAUAUAAAGAAGACAUUAAAGCUUUUGCCCACUUACAGCUAUUACUCUGGAGACAAACACAACUAAGAAGAGAAAUGUUAUGAGCUACCUUAGGUUGUCUAUGAAAAUGAAAAGAUACGCACAGCCCCUGAAAAGCUCACUUUCCCCUGCUCUGAAGAACUGUAACCACAGUGUUUCAUGGUGAGGAGGACUCUGAACAUCACCAGUAGAGUCAUUUCAUUUCCCAAAGAAGGAGAUUAUUAUUUGUUCGCCUCUAGGGAGAAGAAGAGGGAAGGAAAAGGCUACAUGUGACAGAUGCUAAUUAUGCAGCUUAAUGCACUUCUGGAAGUUGCAGAGAUGAGAACUAUGUAAGAACCUAUCUGAAAAAUAGAAAGCAUAUUUUCAAUAACA